AUUGAACGCUGGCGGCAUGCCUUACACAUGCAAGUCGAACGGUAACGGGCCUUCGGGUGCCGACGAGUGGCGCACGGGUGAGUAAUACAUCGGAACGUGCCCGAUCGUGGGGGAUAACGAGGCGAAAGCUUUGCUAAUACCGCAUACGAUCUACGGAUGAAAGCAGGGGACCGCAAGGCCUUGCGCGGACGGAGCGGCCGAUGGCAGAUUAGGUAGUUGGUGGGAUAAAAGCUUACCAAGCCGACGAUCUGUAGCUGGUCUGAGAGGAUGAUCAGCCACACUGGGACUGAGACACGGCCCAGACUCCUACGGGAGGCAGCAGUGGGGAAUUUUGGACAAUGGGCGCAAGCCUGAUCCAGCCAUGCCGCGUGCAGGAUGAAGGCCUUCGGGUUGUAAAAUGCUUUUGUACGGAACGAAAAGCCUUCUUUUAAUACAGGAGGGUCAUGACGGUACCGUAAGAAUAAGCACCGGCUAACUACGUG
rnacentral:rRNA from 1 species